UACAGAGGGGGCAAGCGUUGUUCGGAAUUACUGGGCGUAAAGGGCGCGUAGGUGGCCUUCUAAGUUGAACGUGAAAUCCCUGGGCUCAACCCAGGAACUGCGUCCAAGACUGGGAGGCUUGAAUCCGGGAGAGGGAUGCGGAAUUCCAGGUGUAGCGGUGAAAUGCGUAGAGAUCGGGAGGAACACCAGAGGCGAAGGCGGCGACCUGGACAAGCACUGACACUCAACUACGAAAGCGUGGGGAGCAAACAGGG
rnacentral:rRNA from 1 species